CCUACGGGAGGCAGCAGUAGGGAAUCUUCCACAAUGGGUGAAAGCCUGAUGGAGCAACGCCGCGUGGGUGAAGAAGGUCUUCGGAUCGUAAAACCCUGUUGUUAGAGAAGAAAGUGCGUGAGAGUAACUGUUCACGUUUCGACGGUAUCUAACCAGAAAGCCACGGCUAACUACGUGCCAGCAGCCGCGGUAAUACGUAGGUGGCAAGCGUUAUCCGGAUUUAUUGGGCGUAAAGGGAACGCAGGCGGUCUUUUAAGUCUGAUGUGAAAGCCUUCGGCUUAACCGGAGUAGUGCAUUGGAAACUGGGAGACUUGAGUGGAGAAGAGGAGAGAGGAACUCCAUGUGUAGCGGUGAAAUGCGUAGAUAUAUGGAAGAACACCAGUGGCGAAGGCGGCUUUCUGGUCUGUAACUGACGCUGAGGUUCGAAAGCGUGGGUAGCAAACAGGAUUAGAUACCCUAGUAGUC
rnacentral:rRNA from 1 species